rnacentral:rRNA from 1 species
UACGGGGGGAGCAAGCGUUGUUCGGAUUUACUGGGCGUAAAGGGCGCGUAGGCGGCCACGACAAGUCAGUUGUGAAAUCUCUGGGCUUAACUCAGAACGGUCAACUGAUACUGUCGGGCUAGAGUGCAGAAGGGGCAACUGGAAUUCUCGGUGUAGCGGUGAAAUGCGUAGAGAUCGGCAGGAACACCCAGGGGGAAACCAGCGGACUGGGCAUCAGCUGACGCUCAGGUGCGACAGCGUGGGGAGCGAACCGG